rnacentral:rRNA from 1 species
UACGGAGGGUGCAAGCGUUAUCCGGAUUCACUGGGUUUAAAGGGUGCGUAGGCGGCUAGGUAAGUCAGUGGUGAAAUCUCCGAGCUUAACUCGGAAACUGCCGUUGAUACUAUUUAUCUUGAAUAUUGUGGAGGUAAGUGGAAUAUGUCAUGUAGCGGUGAAAUGCUUAGAUAUGACAUAGAACACCAAUUGCGAAGGCAGCUUACUACGCAGUUAUUGACGCUGAGGCACGAAAGCGUGGGGAUCAAACAGG